UGGAGAGGUGGCCGAGAGGCUGAAGGCAACGGUUUGCUAAACCGUCGUACCGGUGAAUGCUGGUACCGCGAGUUCGAAUCUCGCCCUCUCCGU
rnacentral:tRNA from 1 species